rnacentral:rRNA from 1 species
GACGAACGCUGGCGGCGUGCUUAACACAUGCAAGUCGAACGGAAAGGCCCUGCUUUUGUGGGGUGCUCGAGUGGCGAACGGGUGAGUAACACGUGAGUAACCUGCCCUUUACUUUGGGAUAACUUCAGGAAACUGGGGCUAAUACCGGAUAGGAGCUCCUGCUGCAUGGUGGGGGUUGGAACGUUUCGGCGGUUGGGGAUGGACUCGCGGCUUAUCAGCUUGUUGGUGGGGUAGUGGCUUACCAAGGCUUUGACGGGUAGCCGGCCUGAGAGGGUGACCGGCCACAUUGGGACUGAGAUACGGCCCAGACUCCUACGGGAGGCAGCAGUGGGGAAUAUUGCACAAUGGGCGGAAGCCUGAUGCAGCAACGCCGCGUGCGGGAUGAAGGCCUUCGGGUUGUAAACCGCUUUCGCCUGUGACGAAGCGUGAGUGACGGUAAUGGGUAAAGAAGCACCGGCUAACUACGUG